CGACAGCGGCGCCACGGGGUGAAAUUUCUGGAAGGUGCGGCCGGAGCGGGACCGGAAUCGGGAUCGGGAUCAGGAUCAGGGUCAGGGUCAGGGUAGGGCCGGGGGCGGCGGGCAGUGACGGCCCCCAGCGCCGCCGCCAUGAAUCACAAGAGCAAGAAGCGGAUCCGUGAGGCGAAGCGCAGCGCCCGGCCCGAGCUGAAGGACUCGCUGGACUGGACCCGUCACAACUACUGCGAGACCUUCCCCCUCAGCCCCACCGCGUGCAAGGAUAACGUGGAGAGGGCAGAUGCACUCCAGUUAACAGUGGAGGAGUUUGUUGAGCGGUAUGAAAAGCCUUACAAGCCCGUGGUGUUGCUGAACGCUCAGGUGGGCUGGUCUGCCCAGGAGAAGUGGACGCUGGAGCGGCUGAAACGCAAGUACAGGAACCAGAAGUUCAAAUGCGGGGAGGACAAUGACGGUUACUCUGUGAAGAUGAAGAUGAAAUAUUACAUAGAGUACAUGGAAACCACGCGUGAUGACAGCCCCCUUUACAUCUUUGACAGCAGCUAUGGAGAGCACCCCAAGCGAAGGAAGCUCCUGGAAGACUACAAGGUCCCCAAAUUCUUCACUGAUGAUCUGUUUCAGUAUGCAGGGGAGAAACGGAGGCCGCCCUACAGAUGGUUUGUGAUGGGCCCACCUCGUUCUGGAACAGGAAUUCACAUUGAUCCCCUGGGAACCAGUGCAUGGAAUGCCUUAGUGCAGGGACAUAAGCGUUGGUGCCUGUUCCCAACCAGCACUCCCAGAGAGCUGAUCAAAGUGACACGGGAAGAGGGAGGGAACCAGCAGGACGAGGCCAUCACCUGGUUCAAUGUCAUCUAUCCUCGCACACAGCUUCCCACCUGGCCCCCCGAGUUCAAACCCCUGGAAGUCUUACAGAAACCAGGAGAGACAGUCUUUGUGCCAGGUGGCUGGUGGCACGUAGUCCUCAAUCUUGACACGACUAUUGCCAUCACACAAAACUUUGCCAGCUGUACCAACUUCCCUGUGGUGUGGCACAAGACAGUAAGAGGGAGACCUAAACUGUCACGGAAAUGGUACAGGAUCCUAAAGCAGGAGCAUCCUGAAUUGGCAGCCUUGGCUGAUUCAGUUGACCUGCAGGAAUCUACUGGUAUUGCUUCUGACAGUUCUAGUGAUUCUUCCAGUUCAUCAAGUUCCAGCUCCUCAGACUCUGAUUCAGAGUGUGACUCUGGCUCCGAGACAGAGGGGAUGAUGCACCGCAGGAAGAAGCGGAGGACGUGCGGGAUGAUGGGCAACGGGGACACGACUUCCCAGGACGACUGCGUGAGCAAAGAGCGCAGCUCCUCCAGGAUUAGGGAAUCUUGUGGAGGCCGCAGCUACCCCUGAGGGAUAGCACCACCUGCCCAGAGGCAGCUGCAGAUCGAAGCUCCAUUAGCAGCCAGCCAGCUCUGUUCUACCCCCUCCUGCUUCCAUCUCUCACACUCCUUAGUUUGUGUCACUCUUCCUCGUCCAGCCAUCUUCGUUACGUGCUGUCCAAGGUUGGCUCCUGAGUAACCUGUAGGGGAAUGCCCUGACUGUGCCCUCUGUGCAAUGCUUUGUCCCCUCUGCGCCCCGGGUGAGUGCACUAGAACCCAGCUGUGGGGAAGGACAUGCCAAGUAUUGAAUGGGUCAUGGAACUGGCAAGGAAGACAACGGUCAGUUUUUAAAGAACUCUUUUUAAAACCAGCAGGUAGAUACAAGAACCUGCCUUGCUUUGACACUGUCAUAUGUUUACAUGUUGUCCUGUACACUUGAGGAAAGGAACACCAGCCCUUUUGGCCUGUCAGAACAUCCAGUGGGAUCUCACACCAGAAUUUUGGGAAGAACAAGGAAGAAAUGAGCUUCUGCAAGAACUGAGCUGUGGAAAAUGAGUCCUUGGAUCUUACCCUGCUGCAGGAGAACAUUGCUGUCAGGGCUGGCGCUUCCACGUGUGUGUCUCAUAAAGUCCUGGAGUACGGGCACUUGGGAAGAGUCCAUCAGGAUCAUCGAGUUCAACUCCUGGCCCUGAACAGAAACCAAGAACCCCACCCUGUGCCCAAGAGCAUUGUCCAAACAGUUCAAGAACUCAGACAGGCUCAGUGCUGUGACUGUGGGGAGGCUGUUCCAGUGCCCAGCCGCUCUCUGGGUGAAAAACAUGUUUGUGAUAUCCAGCCUGAACCUGUUCUCACUCAACUCCAGCCAUUUCCUUGAGUCUUGUCACUGGUAACAAGAAUGAAGAGAUCGGUACUAGCCCCUCUGCUGUCCCUCAUGAGGAUGCUGAAGACCUGAAUGAGGCCUGACUUCAGUCUCCUCCAGGCUGAUCAGACCAAGUGACCUCAGCCACUCCUCAUACGGCUUCUCCUCAAGACCUUCACCAUCCUCAUGGCCUCCUUUAGGUGCUCUACAAUGGCUUCAUAUCUGUUAAAUGUUGUGGUUCCCAAAACAGCCCCCAGCACUGAAGGUGAGGCUGCCCCAGUGCAGAGCAGGACAGUCCCCUCCCUUUCCUGGCUGGCAUUGCUGGGCCUGAUGCCCCCAGGACACGGUUUGCCCUCUGGGCUCCAGGGCACUGCUGACUCAGAUCCAGCUCAGAUCCAACCAGGACCCCCAGGUCCCUUUCCACAGCUCUGCUCUCCAGCCUCUCGUUCCCCAGUCUGUCCACACAACCAGGAGUGCCUGGAUCCCAGUGCAGAAUCCAGCCCGUGUUAAACCCCACACGGUUGGUGAUUGCCCAUCUCUCUAAUUCAUUGAGGCCUCUCUACCCUCAAGGGAGUUGACAGCUCCUCCCAAUUUAGUGUUGGCAAACUUAAUAUUCCUUCCACUCCUGCAUCCAAGUCAUUGGAAUGUUGAAGAGCACAGGGAGGAGGAUGGAGCCCUGCAGAAGCCCACUAGUGACCAGUGCCAACCUGGUGUCACCCCAGUCACUGUCACCCUUUGUGUCCAACCUUUGAGCCAGUUGCUAACACAGUUACCCAGCUGUGGGCUGGACAGUUUGUCUAAGUCACUGGGAAAGACAAUAUCCACAGCUUUGCUGAAGUCCAAAAGGUGACAUCCACUGGCUUUCCUAGAUCAACCAGUGGGUGACCUUGUCACAGAAGGAGAUCAGAUUCAACAAGCAGGAAUUUCCCUUCAUGAAGCUGUACUGGCUGUGACUGUUGCCUGCAUUGUCCUCCAGGUGUUUUUCAGUACUUUGCAGAAUCAUCUCUUCCAUGAUGUGGCUGGGCACUGAAGUGAGACUGACAGGCCUGUGGUUUCCAGGGUCCUCCUUGUUCUUGAAGACUGGGACAUUUGCCAGCUUCCAGUCAGCUGGAACCUCUCUGGAUUCCCAAGACUGCUCAAAAAUCAUUGAGAGGUUUUGUGAUGACAACAGCAGCAUCUUGAGGAUUCUCAGAUGAAUCCCAUGAGGCCCCAUGGAUUUAUAGGAUCCAUCUGGAGCAGCAGAUCCUGCUGCUUAGGGGUUGAGAACAUUCUCACAGUCACAGUCCUCAAGCUCAAGGCACUGAGCCCCCCUUGGUCCAUCAUCUGUUCUGAAGACACAGGCAGAGAAACAUUAAACUCUGCCAUGUCCAUAUAUGUCCCUGUUUGUGAGAUGACCAUCCUCAUCCUGGAGUGGGCCAGUGUUAUUUCUAAUUUGCCUUUUGCCAUUAAUAUAUUUGAAAAAACUCUUUUUUAUUUCCCCCACAGUUCUGGCCAGCUUUGUCUCCAGUUGAGCUUUGGCCACAUGAAUUUUCUCCCUACAGUGGCAGCAGCAUUUCUGUAUUCUUCCCAUGUCACCUGAUCUUGCUUCUACUGGGCAGACACCUUCCUUUUUCGUCUUAUUUCCAAGAGAAGAUCCCUGUUCAGCCAAGGAAAGGAAGGUGGUGGGAAUGCCCCAAGCACUGAGGAAACUUCAGCAGAGAUGGCCACCAACCUGAAGCAUCUUUUGUGGUCUGAUUCUGCAUGCUCCAUGCACACACCUGUGGUGCCAUACCUGAACCAGCAGCAGUCCUUCCACCCUGUGUGUGUCACAGUGACAGGUAACAAAGCUGCACUGGCACCUUGUGAUGGGAAGCUCGAUGGAGCAGGAGAAUCCUGGAGUUUCUUGCACAGCAAAAACUGUGGUGGCAAAAAAGUCAGCAUUUGCCAGUAAUUCCAAUCCUUCAGGUGCAAGUGUGAUGUUUAGCACAAGGCAACUGCUGACAAAGUCUGACUCUGUCAAGAUCACAUUUGCUGGGCUUGAAACACCAAACAGUUCUUGGGCUGUGGGCUUGCUCAGCCCAGUGCAGUUCACAUCCUUAAAUGACUUUUCUGUGAGGUUAUGUGUUCAGGCCUUUCUGAAAGUUGCAGUGCCAAUUUUAAAGGAUUGAGGAGGGGAACAUGUUGUUGUUUAUGCUUUUUAAAAAUGCAAUGUGUUGCUUAAGUCUGUGUAGAUGCAUUUGUAUUAUGCCAGGUAAAGCUCUUGUCCCCAAGGGAUCUUUUGGAGCUGCUGGUUUGUUGUAUUAGCAGGGGCUUGUGCUGGUGGUGUCUGUGUGGCUGAAGGUGCUGCCAAGAAAUCUGAACUUCCCAUGGGCUGCUUCAGUGGCUGCUCUUCUGAGCCCUAGGAGCUGGGUGUAGAACUCACUUCAGCCAUUCCUUGGGAGAGAAAACUACAGAAAUAAACACACAGCAACACCCAGGCACUGAUGAAAGAGCAAAUGAAAAAGAGAUUAAAGCCUCAACUGUGACUUUCUUAAAUGUGUUGGGUUUGGUGGAACCUGGAGUGUUGCUUUUCUGAGUUCUCUGGUCCAUUUUUAAUGUUAUCUAGUCCUUAUUAAAACUGGGCCAUAUCCUUUUGUACAAAGGAAUCCUAAAUAUGUUUGUUGGGAUCUCUGUUUUUGACUCUUUUGUGCCAGUCAGUUUGUGUAGGAGCAGUGUGGUGGUGGGGAAAUGGAGAGAGGGAAGGUUUAUUGAUAUAUUAUUCUUUAGCUGUCCAGACUUCCAAAUUUCCUGUGAUAGCCAGGCAUCAGCAAGCUCACUUGCUCUGUAGCCAUUGCAGAUUCUUCCACAAGAUCAUUUAAAAAAACCUCCAGCUUCUCCAACUCCUGUCAUUUCUGGCCAAGGCUGAACAGCCUGGAAGCCUGCACAGUCUGUGUGUGUCCUGUCAGAGAAGGCUGCAGCUGCUGCCUUUUGGAAGAAUGUGGGGCCUGGAGAGACAAAGGCUCACAAGGCUCAGCUCUGUCACAGUGAGGGGGGUCCUUGGGGAGCUGUCCCUGCCCUCUCAGGUGGCUGGGCAGCACCUCAGUGAGAUGCAGCUGCAUUUGGCACAUGUGGUUCAGUUUGCACAGUCUUCAAAUCUAAUGUGAAAGCCUGAUUGCUGUGCUGGGAAACCACACCUCUGCCUCUAGAAGCACAGUGGGAAGAUCCAGUUCUUCCAUGCCUGUGAACUCUUCCAUGGUGGGAAAUAAAACAAUUCCAGGUGAAAUCUGUGUUGGUGUGACAUCUCUCACAGAAAAGCAGUGUUUACAGUGGACUGCAGACAUCGUGAUACCAGCAAUCUUCUCCUGACUGCUCCACAGGGCAUUCCUGCUGUGAAACAGUGUCUGUGCAGGCUGCCUGGGAAUCAGGACUCCAUGGUCUCCAAUUCUUCCACUUCUGGCUUCUGCCUCAGCUGCUUUGAUGAGUCUUUGAGCAGUGAGAAAAAUCCCUACCUCGAAGGGCUGUUGUGAGGCUGAACUGUAAUUGCUGUGCAAGAUGCUUUGAAGCCACCCACCCAAAAAAGGUGUUCAUUCAUCCUGAGCAACCUGAGACUUCUGAGCCUGGUGGGAGCUUUUUGUAGCAGAAAACAUUGGGGAUGUUGUUCAACACUCUUGGCCACGUGGUGUUCUGUGGUGGCCCUUCCAGAACUGCAGUGUGGUACAUAAAUUGUAGCAGAACAAGACUUUGUUUUCACCAGGGUUGAACUGUUGCUGUUCCAUGGCCUGCUCUAAACAGGAGGUGCUGCUAGAGCAGGAUCUGUUUUUAAAUAGGACUAGAUACAGUUUUCUCAUCAGGGAGUCAGCUUCACUGGCCUUACAGGAGUGGGGGGAGCUGGUGCUUCCCAGGCCCUCAUUUCAGGCUGGGUGAGUGAGGGACAGUUGAAAACAUCCUCUUUGGGAAGCUGGCUGGGGAGAGUGGGCUCUGCUCUCAUUUCUCCAGGCUUGUGCUUCUUGGUGCAUCCUUGUCUCUUGUUCCAGCCCUGCUGCUUUUGUAAUUAGAGGCCCUGGAUGCAGCUGGUCCAGCACCCUGUGGGCCCCUCAUUUCCUUGAGCCCCAGAGCAGCAGCACAGCUUAGCCUCACCUCUGGGGCUGUGGGGGCUGGGUGUCAUUGUCACAAUCCUGCCUGCUCUGGGAAAGGUGAUGGGAUUUGGGACCUCUGGCUGUGCUUUAGAGCCUGGUGACAGACACAGGCUGUGAGAGUUCAGGAGGAAACUACCCAACACUCCAUCAGAACCACAAAUGUGGACAAGAGGCACCAGUCCCAGCACCUGUUCUCUGCACAAGUGCUUGGAGCUUCUGGCAGACUUCCUCCCCUUCCAGCUCGUGUGUGCUAGUCCAGUUUGUUUUCUUAGUUACAUCAAACCUCUCCAGAUGCUUCAAGGAACGACAGCACCCUCUUUCAUAGUUAAACUCUACUCCACCCUGAGGCCCCACCCAUUGUGGGCUGGGAAGCAAGAUCGUGGCUGAAUCCGGUCUGAAAUGCCUGUGUGGGCACAUUGUAACAGGAGGAUUUUGGCAUCCCCCUUGCAAAGGGGGGAAGGAAAGUGUUACCUGUUCAUGGGACAGUCCCACUGUCAGCUCCAAGCCCUGCCACUGCCCUUAGCUGCUUUUAUCAUCCAUCCAGCAGAGCUGGGAUACUUGUCUUGUUUGGAUGA